CAAUAAGCGUUGAAAGAGCAAGUAAAUGAUUACCACCCAAACGAAUGCAGGGAGGGAAUGCCAUGGACUGAAAGCAUUUCUAUCGUUGGAAUCAUUGAAUUUCACUCUGGAGCUGACACGGGGACCUCAUCAGGCAUGAGUAAUCGUGUUUCCGGAUUUGAAUUCCGUUAUCAAUGAUGAAGUGGGCACUGCAUACGUGUAGUGUCAACAAGGGUGGUACCGCGAAACGUACUUACAAGUCUCGUCCCUUUU
rnacentral:ncRNA from 1 species